GCAUUGGUGGUUCAGUGGUAGAAUUCUCGCCUUCCAUGCAGAAGACCUGGGUUCAAUUCCUGGCCAAUCUA
rnacentral:tRNA from 1 species